UACGUAGGGGGCAAGCGUUGUCCGGAAUCAUUGGGCGUAAAGCGCGUGUAGGCGGCUGGGUAAGUCCGCUCUGAAAGCCCGGGGCUCAACCCCGGGAGGCGGGUGGAUACUGCUCAGCUCGAGUCCGGAAGAGGAGUGUGGAAUUCCUGGUGUAGCGGUGAAAUGCGCAGAUAUCAGGAGGAAUACCAGAGGCGAAGGCGGCACCCUGGGUCUGACCUGACACUGAUCCGCGACAGCAUGGGGAGCGAACGGG
rnacentral:rRNA from 1 species